UGGAAACCCUAAUUCAUUCUUUCAGUUUCUCUCUCUCUGGCUUCACUCUACAUCGUCUUCAAAUUCAAACUUGGAUCUAUGACCGCCUUCUGCAUUCUUCUGAUCAUCUUUGUUUCUACAUCAUUUACAACGAGCAGGUUUUGCGAAUUGGUGUUGUUUAAUGAUGUGGCAUACAGAAUGUUAUUAGUUUUAUGUUUCUCUGAGUUGACUGAUUUUUGAGAGCUUCUGGUUAUCAAUCAAUCUGUUUCAAUGCAAUAUAUAUGCGUUGGAUGUUAACGUGGAGAGAGCGGAGGAUGUGAUCACGCAUAAAAGAGUUUUGCAGACACCAGAAGCUCAUUCAAAGAUUUGGGAAACACUUAGCUUGACAGUAUGAAGAUAUUGGGCACUUAGAAUCAAGUGAUGCUAACGAUACUUAGUGUAGGUGUCGUGAAAGCAAUGAGUAACCAAUUGCUUAGGUGGUGGAAUGCCUGUCCACGCUUUAGACUAUAGAUCACAUACCAUGUGAUUCAUCAGACAACUGUACCAUAUAGCAUUUGCAUUCAAGAGUUAUUGGAGUUAGAUGAACAUGAGAGACGGCUCAAGUUCAACCCGACAAUAAAUUCGACGAUAUUUCAUCAACCGACUGUUGAUGAUUUUUAACUACUGGCGAUUUUUUGUAAUUAUGAGUAUUGUCGUUUGAUAAUAGGUCUUUGACUUUGACUUUCCGUUUCAGUUGCAAGUUGGUGUGAAUGCCAGUGAGCUUGAGGACCGAAUCUUCCAACAUUCAGCUGGGUUCAAAGUCUAUCAACUUUUCUAAAUAAAAAUACCAGCUUAUGUUCGUUUUUUGGGUAGGUUCUUUUGAUCAAUAAAGUUCGGGGCUGAUAAAACCGAGAAAGAGAAGUUCCAACGAGAGGAAUGGUUCGGUCACAUGCUACGUUCAGAAACGAUGCGAUUAUUAUAUUGAGUAUUAUAUGCCUCCAGCUUCCUUUUGAACUGGCGUAUGCACAUUGGUACGAGAUCAUUGGAUCCGAUAUGAUAAAGUUUGGGUUAACGGCAAUUUACCUAUUUGCCGUUCAAUAUUUCACACAAAUUGGGGGGAAGGUGUUAGUGAAGUUAAUAAAGCGUGAAAAAAACGAGAGCUCUGAAUAUAGGGCUAACAGUUUGAUUUACAAGGUGGUUGUAUGCAUCUCCACUCUUUCGACUAUAGAUCACAUACCAUGUGAUUCAUCAGCCAACUGUUCCACAUAACAUUUGCAUUCAAGAGUUAUUGGAGUUAGUUGAACAUGAGAGACGGGUCAAGUUCAACCCGACAAGAGAUUCAACGAUGUUUCAUCACCCGAUUGUUGUUGCAAGCUGGUGUCAAUGCCGGUUCUUUUGAUCAAUAAAGUUCGGGGCUGAUAAACCAAGAAAGAGAAGUUCCAACGAGAGGAAUGGUUCGGUCACAUGCUACGAUUCAGAAACGAUGCGAUUAUUAUAUUCAAUAUUAUAUGCCUCCAGCUUCCUUUUGAACUGGCGUAUGCACAUUUGUACGAGAUCAUUGGAUCCGAUAUCAUAAGGUUUGGGUUAACGGCAAUUUGCCUAUUUGCCAUUCAAUAUUUCACACAAAUUGGGGGGAAGGUGUCGGUGAAGUUAAUAAAGCGUGAAAAAAUGAGAGCUCUGAAUAUAGGGCUAAUAGUUUGAUUUACAAGUUAAUGUAGGUGAUAACGUUAAGGUAGGUGGUUGUAUGCAUCUCCACGCUUUCGACUAUAGAUCACAUACCAUGUGAUUCAUCAGCCAACUGUUCCACAUAACAUUUGCAUUCAAGAGUUAUUGGAGUCAGUUGAACAUGAGCGACGGAUCAAGUUCAACCCGGCAAGAAAUUCAACGAUGUUGCAUCACCCGACUGUUGUUGCAAGUUGGUGUGAAUGUCGGUGAGCUUGAGGACUGAAUCUUCCAACAUUCAGCUGGGUUCAAAAGUUUAUCAACUUUUCUAAAUAAAAAUACCAGCUUAUGUUCGCUGUUCGUUUUUUGGGUAGGUUCUUUUGAUCAAUAAAGUUUGGGGCUGAUAAAACCGAGAAAGAGAAGUUCCAACGAGAGGAAUGGUUCGGUCACAUGCUACAAUUCAGAAACGAUGCGAUUAUUACAUUGAGUAUUAUAUGCCUCCAACUUCCUUUUUAACUGGCGUAUGCACAUUUGUACGAGAUCAUUGGAUCUGAUAUCAUAAAGUAAGCAUGUGAUUUUAUUUAAAAAAAAUUAAUGCUACUGGAAAUCAAUUCGAAACAAGAGAAAACGGGAAAAGGGAAUGGCAGCCAGAAUAUCUUAUUUUCAUUCUAGGGUUGAGAAGGAGUAUUUUAAGCCUAUAUAUUCCGCCAGUGUUGGUGAUGAACUCGAAGAUGGGCUCUUUGAUGUCAUGAAUGGAUUCAACCCGUGUAACUCAAGUUUCUAACUUGAUCUCCUCUUUGGCAUCAUAGUAGUUGGUGGGAGAAUGGGCUGGUACUAAAGAUGGAGCUACUAUUAUGCACAACAUGGUUGUUGAAGGGCCAUCAAGCGCUGGUUCCAUGAACAUAGUGCGCACACUGGUCCAGCAGUUGCAAUAGGGAAUUACACAACGAUAUGGGUGUACCUACUGGCGCCCACACUUGGAGUCCUGGCUGGAGCAGGUGUCUACACAUUGGUCAAACCUUCAAACAGACAGUGUUCUUGGAGUUGAGUUUGCGGUUUCAUGAACAUUAUCACCACUAAGGUGUGGCCAUACAACCACUAUGAAGAACGGUUCAGCCUAAUUGGCUAAGAGAUGCUGAGAUUACGGAUCGUGGUACCGACGUAAUGGAUGGUGGUUUGGAGGGUUGAUAAUGUUGAUUGGCGGCCAUUGCUAAGAUGACGGAUAAUGAUAUUGACAUAAUGGAUUGCGAUUUAGAAGGCGGUCAACGUUGAUUGACGAUUCAUCUUUUUUGAUGUAAAUAAAAUUCACACAUUUUUUGAUUUUUUUCAAACGUUAUUUGUCUUUUAAAUUAUAUAUAUAGUUGUGUUUAACAAAUUUUAAAUAUCUAAAUCCGUGAGUAUUCAUUGGUGAUAACUUAUCUAUUAUAAAGAAAAAUAAAUACGACGUUGUUUGUUCGGCC